CCUACGGGAGGCAGCAGUAGGGAAUAUUGCUCAAUGGGGGAAACCCUGAAGCAGCAACGCCGCGUGGAGGAUGAAGGUUUUCGGAUUGUAAACUCCUUUUGUUAGAGAAGAUAAUGACGGUAUCUAACGAAUAAGCACCGGCUAACUCCGUGCCAGCAGCCGCGGUAAUACGGAGGGUGCAAGCGUUACUCGGAAUCACUGUGCGUAAAGAGCGCGUAGGCGGGAUAGCAAGUCAGAUGUGAAAUCCUAUGGCUUAACCAGAGAACUGCAUUUGAAACUGUUAUUCUAGAGUAUGUGAGAGGUAGGUGGAAUUCUUGGUGUAGGGGUAAAAUCCGUAGAGAUCAAGAGGAAUACUCAUUGCGAAGGCGACCUGCUAGAACAUAACUGACGCUGAUGCGCGAAAGCGUGGGGAGCGAACAGGAUUAGAUACCCCUGUAGUC
rnacentral:rRNA from 1 species